GCCUUCAGCCGCUCGGCCACGUCUCCACAGGCUCGAUAUGCCUUACGCGGUCACGCGCCGCAAGUCGCUGAGGAAUUUUCCCCGAUUUGGCCCCAAUCAGAUCCGUUCGGGCCGCUCCUUUCUCUCACUCUAUAAUGUCCUCGGUUUCCUCAAGGCGGUUCCGAGCCGGCCGAAGGCCGCCAAAUGCGCUGUGGCAGCCUAAAAUGUUGGGGAACACGGAUUUAACGGCCGCCCAUUUUGC
rnacentral:misc_RNA from 1 species